UACGGAGGGUGCGAGCGUUGUCCGGAAUCACUGGGCGUAAAGGGCGCGUAGGCGGCCUGAUAAGUAGGGGGUGAAAUCCUGCGGCUUAACCGCAGGGCUGCCUUCUAAACUGUCAGGCUGGAGCACAGUAGAGGCAGGUGGAAUUCCCGGUGUAGCGGUGGAAUGCGUAGAGAUCGGGAAGAACAUCAGUGGCGAAGGCGGCCUGCUGGGCUGUUGCUGACGCUGAGAGACGAAAGCUAGGGGAGCGAAUGGG
rnacentral:rRNA from 1 species